rnacentral:lncRNA from 1 species
UAAAAUACUAGUAAGCUUCCCUUACCUUGGAUGAUCCUAUGUUCCUUUCUUUACCCAAGAUUUCCAGCCAAAACUUUCACCUCUUUCAAGCUCACUUCCUUGCCUCAAAUAACUUCAAACUAUUUCCUUUGAUUUUCCAGCCACUAUCUCACAACGCACCCCUUCUUUUCUCUCUGUUUUUUUUUUCAAACUAUAUAACCAGAACGUAAUAUAAUCUCCCUUCACUUCCCUACUUUAAUAGUCCAUACUUCCACUAACCUUAAGGGUUUACCCCUUUUGUUUCCUAUCUUUUCGGCAAAGAUACUUAUAAAACUACUAAAAAAACUAAUUCUCCUUUAUUUGUUUAUUUCACGUUCUCACUAACCAGAAUUUUAAAUAAAUAAAAUGGCCCACCAAUAACUUUCUUUUCACCACAUCUUAAUUCCAUUAAGCACAUAGACUCCAUGAUAAUAAAAUAAUUAAUAACCAAAACACAACAAUUUCUAAAUUAAUAAAACAAAUAAAUAAUUUAUUCAUUAAGCAAAAAUUAAAACUCAACCAUUAAACCAACAAGGGACUAUCACCAAUUAAAUUUGCUCUAUAAUUUUUAG